rnacentral:rRNA from 1 species
UACGAAGGGGGCUAGCGUUGCUCGGAAUCACUGGGCGUAAAGCGCACGUAGGCGGCUUACUAAGUCAGGGGUGAAAUCCUGGAGCUCAACUCCAGAACUGCCUUUGAUACUGGUAAGCUCGAGUCCGGGAAAGGUGAGUGGAACUGCGAGUGUAGAGGUGAAAUUCGUAGAUAUUCGCAAGAACACCAGUGGCGAAGGCGGCUUACUGGCCCGGUACUGACGCUGAGGUGCGAAAGCGUGGGGAGCAAACAGG